rnacentral:lncRNA from 1 species
GUGGAGCUUGUGAAGGGGCCAGUCCUGUAGGCCCAACGCUACAGUAUCUCCAUGACACAGGGCAACAACGGGACGUACCAGAGUCCAGGCAAGCAACGAGCUACGGAAGGCUAUGCAAGAGUAACAGCAGCCUUUACUCCAAUAAGUUCACGAACAACCUGUCACCCAGGUUGUGCUCCCUGCCCUCCUGAUCCCGUGUCCAGUGUGACAAGGCACAGAGAAGACUAGAAGAGCAGCCAGCACUCACUGG